rnacentral:rRNA from 1 species
UACGGAGGGGGCUAGCGUUGUUCGGAAUUACUGGGCGUAAAGCGCGCGUAGGCGGCUUUGUAAGUCAGAGGUGAAAGCCUGGAGCUCAACUCCAGAACUGCCUUUGAGACUGCAUCGCUAGAAUCAUGGAGAGGUAAGUGGAAUUCCGAGUGUAGAGGUGAAAUUCGUAGAUAUCGUAAGGAAGACCAGUGGCGAAGGCGGGUCUCUGGACAGUUCCUGACACUGAGGCACGAAGGCUAGGGGAGCAAACGGG